rnacentral:rRNA from 1 species
AACGAACGCUGGCGGCAUGCCUAACACAUGCAAGUCGAACGAGACCUCCGGGUCUAGUGGCGCACGGGUGUGUAACGCGUGGGAACCUGCCCUUAGGUUCGGAAUAACUCUCCGAAAGGGGUGAUAAUACCGGAUAAUGUCUUCUAACCAAAGAUUUAUCGCGUUUGGAUGGGCCCGCGUUGGAUUAGCUAGUUGGUAGGGUAAAAGCCUACCACGGCGACGAUCCAUAGCUGGUCAGAGAGGAUGGUCAGCCACACUGGGACUGAGACACGGCCCAGAAUCCUACGGGAGGCAGCAGUGGGGAAUAUUGGACAAUGGGCGGAAUCCUGAACCAGCAAUGCCGCGUAAGUGAUGAAGGCCUUAAAGUUGUAAAGCGCUUUUACCCGGGAUGAUAAUGACGGUACCGAGAGAAUAAGCCCCGGCUAACUCCGUG